GACGAACGCUGGCGGCGUGCUUAACACAUGCAAGUCGAACGGAAAGGCCCUGCUUUUGUGGGGUGCUCGAGUGGCGAACGGGUGAGUAACACGUGAGUAACCUGCCCUUGACUUUGGGAUAACUUCAGGAAACUGGGGCUAAUACCGGAUAGGAGCUCCUGCUGCAUGGUGGGGGUUGGAAAGUGUCGGCGGUUGGGGAUGGACUCGCGGCUUAUCAGCUUGUUGGUGGGGUAGUGGCUUACCAAGGCUUUGACGGGUAGCCGGCCUGAGAGGGUGACCGGCCACAUUGGGCCUGAGAUACGGCCCAGACUCCUACGGGAGGCAGCAGUGGGGAAUAUUGCACAAUGGGCGGAAGCCUGAUGCAGCAACGCCGCGUGCGGGAUGACGGCCUUCGGGUUGUAAACCGCUUUCGCCUGUGACGAAGCGUGAGUGACGGUACUGGGUAAAGAAGCACCGGCUAACUACGUG
rnacentral:rRNA from 1 species